CUCUCCGUUCUAAUUUUAAUGAAACAUUUUUUUUCUUCCUGGUUAUCUUUGCUGAUAUAAAAAAAAUAUACCCCAAGAGAAAGCAAAGCUGCCUCUGCAGAGGGAAUGCAUGCAUACGAACGCGGCGAGGAAGUGAAUUGUGAGACCCCCCCUGGGAUUCUCACAUUGGUGAAGCAGUGACCCUUGUGCCCACCCAUUUGUGCUCGCUGGACGGGGGCCAGAGCCAUCGCUGAUGGCCGAGCAAUUAUCUGCUCCAGCCAGACCUCACUCACUCCACCCCGCACUGCUGAGGGGGUUCCCUUGACCCACAAGAAUGUCAGCUUGUGCUCUGCAGCUGUGUACUCUGCCAAGAUUCAAAGGCAGAUGGAAGGGAGAGGACCCGAAGUGUUGGACUGAAAAGGCGGAAUCUGCUAAUCUCUUGUGAGGACGCAGUCCCCAGCUGUGCCUGCAGACCAGCGGACAAAGCUGCAUCAUCAUCCUCCUCCUCCUUCGUGCCACUCCUGGGAGCAGCGGCGGCGUGGGCGUGACCCGUCGAU